rnacentral:tRNA from 1 species
UUUAGGGAGACCUAAUCCACUCAAAUAUCGAAAAACAAUCAGUUAAAUAGAUAUUGAGUUGGUCUAUCCUAGGUCGGUCGCAGAAAUUGUUGAGGCUUUCAAACUAGAUGAGGUUCAUUGUGGGCUAUUAGCUCAGGUGGUUAGAGCGCACCCCUGAUAAGGGUGAGGUCCCUGGUUCGAGUCCAGGAUGGCCCACCUGAAGCAGUACUGAGUAAAGAGUGAUGAGUGCUGAGUUUUUUACUCGGUAUCUUUAGCUGGGAACUCAGAACUGAUGAUGGGGGUUUAGCUCAGUUGGUAGAGCGCCUGCUUUGCAAGCAGGAUGUCAGCGGUUCGAGUCCGCUAACCUCCACCUGCACGAUUGUGACAGUUACAAAAGUGAAUAUAUCGAUAGCAGUCAAAAGCAAAAAUCGAUAGAAUAAUUUUUGUGGCGAAACAAAUAGUGUGAUACAGUUAAAGAUCGUCGAUAAAUUCAGCAAUUGACAGCAAAGAAAGUCAACCUGCUGGAUUAUUGUCCAGCCAGAACCUUGAAAACUGCAUAGUAACGCGAUUUAAAGCAGGCAGACGAAUCCAAGUGCUGAGUACUGAGUGCUGAGUGCUGAGUAAGAUCAGUGUGAAUCACAAAGUAAACAGAACUUUGAAUAAGUUUGCAGUGGUGAACACCAAAUGUAUUGU